UACAGAACAGGCACUUAACUAAAGCAGUGAUCGUAUUUGUGUACUCACUGAAUAUUGAUUGAGAUUAUCAUGUAUCAGGAGCAGUGAAAAUACAUGAAGUGCAUGCAAAAUUGUGACAAACUCCUGCUUAAACAACUCGUUUCCCCUUACUAAUUGCAGCGGCUCCAUAAGUGGUUCUGUGGAAUCUGAAAACAAGCUUUUUCCUCAACAAGAACAAAUAUCAAACCCAAGCACAUGCGUUCUCGCGAAGCAUAUAUCAAAUCCCAACUGUCGAUGAGAUGCUAGAUCUGAAGAACACCAGUACAUAUCGCUGGAUGCCAGAAUAUGUGGCUUCAAUUCAAGCACAUUUUUUGACUUAUGUACCAUGUUUUUUCAUACAAGGGGAACGAGUUUCGCAUCCUCACCAUGAGCACUAUCAUGGCUAAACCACAGUAAGGGAAGAUUACAGAAAAACUUAACGAGUUCAUGAACGGUAAAUACAUAUUGGUCACAAUAUAAACUCUACAUGAAUAGAAAUGCAGCGAGAUGCAGAGCUAAUUGCAUAUGCCGUUGGAAAAUGAUUCACAGAUGGAAGAAAUAACAGGAUUAGCAACAUAGAGUGUUCAACAAUGACCACCCACCACAGCACUUGAAUUGUUUGAAUUCAUUCCCAACUCAACAUCCAAGCAAACAU